GAUUCGGUGCCCUAAUGGUUAGUGCAUUGGACUCUGGAUCGAGUGGUUCAGGUUCAAGCCCUGUUGUGGUUGGGGUCA